rnacentral:rRNA from 1 species
GCCUACCAUGGUGGUAACGGGUAACGGGGUGUUAGGGCACGACACCGGAGAGGGAGCCUGAGAAACGGCUACCACAUCCAAGGAAGGCAGCAGGCGCGCAAAUUACCCAAUCCCCGACACGGGGAGGUAGUGACAAUAAAUAACAAUACAGGGCUCUUUUGGGUCUUGUAAUUGGAAUGAGUACAAUUUAAAUCUCUUAACGAGGAACAAUUGGAGGGCAAGUCUGGUGCCAGCAGCCGCGGUAAUUCCAGCUCCAAUAGCGUAUAUUAAAGUUGUUGCAGUUAAAAAGCUCGUAGUUGAAUUUCGGGAUCAAUAUGUCGGUCGUGCUUCGGUACGUACUGGUAUCAUUGGUUUCUCCUUUCUGACGAACCAUGAUGUCAUUAAUUUGGUGUUAUGGGGAGUUAGGACUGUUACUUUGAAAAAAUUAGAGUGUUUAAAGCAGGCUUUAGCUUGAAUACAUUAGCAUGGAAUAAUGAAAUAGGACGUUCGAACCUAUUUUGUUGGUUUCUAGGAUCAACGUAAUGAUUAAUAGGGAUAGUUGGGGGCAUUAGUAUUCAAUUGUCAGAGGUGAAAUUCUUGGAUUUAUUGAAGACUAACUACUGCGAAAGCAUUUGCCAAGGAUGUUUUCAUUAAUCAAGAACGAAAGUUAGGGGAUCGAAGACGAUCAGAUACCGUCGUA